rnacentral:rRNA from 1 species
GACGAACGCUGGCGGCGUGCUUUACACAUGCAAGUCGAACGGAAAGGCCCUGCUUGCAGGGUACUCGAGUGGCGAACGGGUGAGUAACACGUGGGUGAUCUGCCCUGCACUUCGGGAUAAGCCUGGGAAACUGGGUCUAAUACCGGAUAUGACCUUCCAUGUAGUGUGGGGGGUGGAAAGAUUUAUCGGUGUGGGAUGAGCCCGCGGCCUAUCAGCUUGUUGGUGGGGUAAUGGCCUACCAAGGCGUCGACGGGUAGCCGGCCUGAGAGGGUGGACGGCCACAUUGGGACUGAGAUACGGCCCAGACUCCUACGGGAGGCAGCAGUGGGGAAUAUUGCACAAUGGGCGGAAGCCUUAUGCAGCGACGCCGCGUGGGGGAUGACGGCCUUCGGGUUGUAAACCUCUUUCGACAGGGACGAAGCUUCGGUGACGGUACCUGUAUAAGAAGCACCGGCUAACUACGUG